UACGUAGGUGGCAAGCGUUGUCCGGAAUUAUUGGGCGUAAAGCGCGCGCAGGUGGUUCUUUAAGUCUGAUGUGAAAGCCCACAGCUCAACCGUGGAGGGUCAUUGGAAACUGGGGAACUUGAGUGCAGAAGAGGAAAGUGGAAUUCCAAGUGUAGCGGUGAAAUGCGUAGAGAUUUGGAGGAACACCAGUGGCGAAGGCGACUUUCUGGUCUGUAACUGACACUGAGGCACGAAAGCGUGGGGAGCAAACAGG
rnacentral:rRNA from 1 species